GGUCCGUUAGCUCAGUCGGCAGAGCGUGGUGCUGAUAACGCCAAGGUCGUGAGUUCAAUCCUCACACGGACCA
rnacentral:tRNA from 1 species